GACAGAGGGGCAAGCGUUGCUCGGAAUUACUGGGCGUAAAGGGCGCGUAGGCGGGAUGGCAAGUCGGUCGUGAAAUCCCUCGGCUCAACCGAGGAACGUCGAUCGAUACUGCUGUUCUUGAGGAUUGCAGAGGAGACUGGAAUUCCCGGUGUAGCGGUGAAAUGUGUAGAGAUCGGGAGGAACGACCGGUGGCGAAGGCGGGUCUCUGGGCAAUUCCUGACGCUGAGGCGCGAAAGCGUGGGGAGCAAACGGG
rnacentral:rRNA from 1 species